CCACAAUGGACGAAAGUCUGAUGGAGCGACGCCGCGUGCGGGAUGAAGGCCUUAUGGGUUGUAAACCGCUGUCAGGGGGAGGAACAUCGGAAUGAACAAUACUCAUUCCGACUGACGUUACCCCACGAGGAAGCUCCGGCCAACUCCGUGCCAGCAGCCGCGGUAAUACGGGGGAGGCAAGCGUUGUCCGGAAUUAUUGGGCGUAAAGGGCGUGUAGGCGGCGAGGUAAGUCGAAUGUGAAAUCUCACGGCUCAACCGUGAAACUGCGUUCGAAAACUACCCCUGCUUGAGUACGGGAGAGGUGUACGGAAUUCCUGGUGUAGCGGUGG
rnacentral:rRNA from 1 species